AAGCCUGCUGUGCCCAGCUCUGCAUCAACUAUUUAGGAGGCUACAAAUGCAGAUGUCAGGAAGGCUUUCAGAUCACUUCCAAUGGUUGUGAAUGUGAUGAUGUGGAUGAGUGUCUGGAUGUCAGUAUAGUCUGUGACCAACUACAUUAAUUCUGUGGGAACAUACGAAUGUAGUUGUGAAGAAGGCUACAGAAUUGGAAAUGACAGAAAAACUUACCCCUCUUUAGAUGAUGAUGAGCUAGAGGAAGAAGAAGAGGAAUGAGAAGUUGUGAGGUUUCCAGGUCUUCUAUUCAAGAGCCCACCUCAACAGCUUCAUUAUGUUGCUACUUUUCUGCCUCCCACCUACAAAGAUGAAGAAGAUGAGGAGGAAGAGGAAAAAGAUAUUCAUAGAGAACUGACUGCUUUGCACAAUUUUGUCUGUUUAGAUCACAUCUUUGGACACAAUUGCAGCUUGAGCUGCAAGGACUGCAUGAAUGGAGGAAAGUGCCAGGAAGGAAAGAGUGAAUGCUCCUGCCCAGCAGGUUGCCGUGUCAUUCUUUGUAAUGAAAACUGUCUCGAGGAUGCCUACGGAGCUGGCUGCACUUCAGAAUGUCAGUGUGUGGAGGAGAAUACCCUGGAAUGCAGUGCCAAAAAUGGUAGUUGCACCUGCAAAUCUGGUUACCAAGGCAACAGAUGCCAGAAAGAUGGCCUCUGGGGACCAGAGGGCUGGUUCUCCUCUGCACCCUGUGAAAAUGGAGGUCAGUGCAACAAAAAAACUGGAAAUUGUGACUGCACUCCUGAUUACACAAGAAAAUCCUGUACCAUAUUGAGAUGCAUUUCCCUUACCAAUCUGGCUCUCAGCAGGCGGUCCAGCCCGAUGAAGUAUCAGCAAAAUGUCAGCUCCCACAGAGAAGUGCGACAGAGGCAACAGUGCAGCAGUGACAGGCCUUUCAAAAAGCUAUUGUGCAAAUUCAGUUUUAAAAUAGGGAUGUAGUUGAGGACUGAUGGGUAUUUCAUUACCAAUGCGUUCAUCUCCCCCAUCGUCCAAGAGAAUGAGAGGGGGUCAUGGUGCAGCUGAUAUAAAGCCAUUAAGUUGAGUAGCGGUUGAUUUGGUCUGUAGAAGAUUUGUCUUCCUAUCUGUAUUUUUGAAAAGUUAAUAUUCAAAUUAGCUGUCAUUUUUAGUACAUACCUGCUAAAGGGGGGCCAAGAAUUGUUCUGUUUUCUACUUGAUCACCUUCCAGUGUCUCAAUUAGAUCAUUAAAAACAAAGUUAAUCAUGUCAUUACUUUAUAAACCUCAUUGAGCUACUGAUACUGUUCAUAAUGAAGUUCGUAGCACUAAAGACCCAUCAUCAACCUGUCUCUAGCCAGCUUUUGACCAUGCUUACGUAUACCCUACAUAUUUUAGUCAUUCCCCCAACAUCAUGUACAUUUAAAACAUGGUGCCAUUGUUCAUUGCUCUUUCCUGUAAUACAUGUUUUCUUCUUCCAUUUUUAUUCCCUCAAGCAUUUAUUCCUCAAGCAUUUUUAUUUUCCAGUAUAUGUAAACAAAAUACUAGAGCCCUUCUUUCCAUAGCAGCACCAAUCAUAUUGUAUUAUAAUUAGUUGCCUGCUAUUAAGACUGCUUAUCAUUAAUUUUUGUACACCCCACUUUUCAAUAUACAAGGGGUACUCAAUAAAGAUUUGCUAGAUUCAAUUAAAGAACAUUUUUGACAACUUAAAAUUCCAUCGAAAUAAUUUACUGAGUAAAAAAAAAAAAAACUUGCAAAACACAGCGUUUAUGAUACUGAAAAAUACCCAGUAACCAAUACUCGUUAAACUGGAUUGAAUUACUCAGCCUUUUAAUAUAGCAAGAGGAAAUCAAGAAAGCUGUAGCACCACAGCUUUAUUGGUCUGUACUCCAUUUCUGAAAACACUUUUCAUGAGAAGAUUUUUCAAUGGAUUAGAAGACUAACAUCAGACAAUGAUGAUUCCUUAGCUUCAUCUCAAGAGUCCAGAUUAUUUCCUUCUAUACUCACUUUCAAUGUAUGCAAUCAUUCCUUUUAAAUACAACAGAGUUACCUUAGAAAAGUAAACAAAUGUAGGCUGGACGCCGUGGCUCACACCUGUAAUCCCAGCACUUUGGGAAGCCGAGGCGGGAGGAUCACUUGAGGUCGGGAGUUCAAGACCAGCCUGGCCAACCCCAUCUCUACUGAAAAUACAAAAAUUAGCCUGGAGUGGUGGCACACGCCUGUAAUCCCAGCUACUCAGGAGGCUGAGGCAGGAGAAUCACUUGAACCCGGGAGGCAGAGGUUGCAGUGAGCUGAGAUUGCGCCAUUGCACUCCAGCCUGGGCGACAAAAAAAAAAAAAAA
ensembl:lncRNA novel transcript